rnacentral:rRNA from 1 species
CAGCCGCCGCGGUAAAACAGAGGGUGCGAGCGUUAAUCGGAUUUACUGGGCGUAAAGCGUGCGUAGGCGGCUUCUUAAGUCGGAUGUGAAAUCCCUGAGCUUAACUUAGGAAUUGCAUUCGAUACUGGGAAGCUAGAGUAUGGGAGAGGAUGGUAGAAUUCCAGGUGUAGCGGUGAAAUGCGUAGAGAUCUGGAGGAAUACCGAUGGCGAAGGCAGCCAUCUGGCCUAAUACUGACGCUGAGGUACGAAAGCAUGGGGAGCAAACAGGAUUAGAUACCCGUGUAGUCCCUGUCUCUAUACC